ACACGACUACAUUAGAUACCCGCGUAGUCCCAGCCCUAAACGAUGCGCGUUAGGUGUAUCGGUGACCACGAGUCACCGAGGUGCCGAAGGGAAACCGUGAAACGUGCCGCCUGGGAAGUACGGUCGCAAGGCUGAAACUUAAAGGAAUUGGCGGGGAGCACCACAACGGGUGGAGCCUGCGGUUUAAUUGGACUCAACGCCGGGAAGCUCACCGGAUAAGACAGCAGAAUGAUUGCCGGGCUGAAGACCCUGCAUGACUAGCUG
rnacentral:rRNA from 1 species